GAUGAACGCUGGCGGCGUGCCUAAUACAUGCAAGUCGAACGGUCCGCAAGGAUAGUGGCGAACGGGUGAGUAACGCGCUGGUGACCUGCCCUGAAGAGGGGGAUAACGGAUCGAAAGAUCCGCUAAUACCGCAUGAGCUCUUACUAGUUAGAGAGGUAAGAGGAAAGCCGAAAGGCGCUUUAGGAGGGACCUGCGUCCCAUCAGCUAGUUGGUAAGGUAGUGGCUUACCAAGGCGAUGACGGGUAGGGGACCUGAGAGGGUGGCCCCCCACAAUGGAACUGAAACACGGUCCAUACACCUACGGGUGGCAGCAGUAGGGAAUAUUGGUUAAUGGGCGAAAGCCUGACCCAGCAACGCCGCGUGAACGAUGAAGGCCUUCGGGUUGUAAAGUUCUUUUGACCGGGAUGAGGAAGGACAGUACCGGUCGAAUAAGUCUCGGCUAACUACGUGCCAGCCGCCGCGGUAAUAC
rnacentral:rRNA from 1 species